GCCUUUCACUUCAAUUUCAGCAUCUGCUUUGUCCAUUCAUUCACAAGUACUCCUGAAAAGUGCAAUAUUGAUUUUUUUUCUAGCUCUCCCAGAAUGCGCGACAACAGACCCAGCAAGGACCCAAAGACCCCGGAUGGGGUCUCUUCAGCUGCCUGCCUGCCUGAGAUCACCCGGCGGGUGCACGACCUCCUGGACUGCGCAACAACAGACCCAGUAAGGAAGCCUUAUUUGAGUUUCCAUAAAUGCUGCUUUCUUUAUGAAGCUCCUGCUCUGCACAGCAUAACGUAGGCCCA
rnacentral:lncRNA from 1 species